GACGAACGCUGGCGGCGUGCUUAACACAUGCAAGUCGAACGGAAAGGCCCUGCUUUUGUGGGGUGCUCGAGUGGCGAACGGGUGAGUAACACGUGAGUAACCUGCCCUUUACUUUGGGAUAACUUCAGGAAACUGGGGCUAAUACCGGAUAGGAGCUCCUGCUGCAUGGUGGGGGUUGGAAAGUUUCGGCGGUUGGGGAUGGACUCGCGGCUUAUCAGCUUGUUGGUGGGGUAGUGGCUUACCAAGGCUUUGACGGGUAGCCGGCCUGAGAGGGUGACCGGCCACAUUGGGACUGAGAUACGGCCCAGACUCCUACGGGAGGCAGCAGUGGGGAAUAUUGCACGAUGGGCGGAAGCCUGAUGCAGCAACGCCGCGUGCGGGAUGACGGCCUUCGGGUUGUAAACCGCUUUCGCCUGUGACGAAGCGUGAGUGACGGUAAUGGGUAAAGAAGCACCGGCUAACUACGUG
rnacentral:rRNA from 1 species